GAGAUGAAAAUUGUGUAUAAUUUGAACAUGGUAUUAAAAAAGAAACGGAAAAUCAACAUGGCAAUCCUGACAAUUUGAAGAAUGGUUUGGAGGAGAACAACACUGUUAAGGAAAGUAGUGAUCUAUUGCAAUGUAUUUGGACGUCAAAAUGGGACCCUGAAAUAAAAGGACUUAAAACCUUACUGUCUAACACCAAUGUAUCCCUUUAAUGCCUAGUUUGAUUAUUUUCAGACACUAAUAUUGAUUAAAAUCAUGUUAUUACAUCGUUAUACAAUCUAUGGAAAUUCAAGGGAAUACUUGAAGCAAAUCCUCAGAAAACCCACAUCCUAGAAGCCAGUGGCAGUUGAGCGGUGAUUCCUUCCCUGUUCCCACACUUAUAUAUAGGACGUCAGAUGUAUAGUCUAUAGGUGCUGUUAUAUCUCAUUAUUAAUUUUAAAACAAAAGUACAUCAACAAACGAUAGGAAAUUGUAAUGAGUAGAACUCAUAAGUCAUAUGCAAUCAAUAGGAGUAUGAAUAUUUAAUUAUCUCCCAUUCCACUGUUCUUCACAAAGUAGGAACAUCUAAGAAUCUUCCCCAGGAUAGCUUCUUCUUGGGAUUCUGAAAGAGACAACUCCCCUCAAUUUACAUUCUGGAACUCCAUAUCACAGUUGGUAGACUGUGCUGGGCUUAGCCCGUUGUUUUGUGAAUGGAGUAGUGAUCUUUUCAAUACAUCCCAGAUCCCAGCUUUUGAUUUUUUGGAGGAGUGUCUUGAUUGUUUUUAGUUUUACUGGAGAUUCUUGUGAUGGGAAGAACUACGAACUUAUUGAGUCCUGUUGGUAUCUCCGACUUUACUAUAAACUCCAAUUCAUCCUAGGGCUUUCCUAGCAUUUCUCUGACUCAUUCAAAACAUGAGGAAACUCUGGAAAAAUGGACUUGACAUUCAUAAUUUGCGGGUCCCUCAAAGAGUUUUGGUUACAGAAUUACAUAUAAUUGUUUCUCGAAAAUAUUUUGGAAUAACGUUAAGUGACGCUAAAUCAUGCCACGAAAGGAUAUUUUCACUUGCACCUGUAUUCGGGAGUGCUCUCAUAUAUUGUAAGACGGGGAGUGGAGUGCUUAAUGGAUGAUGUACUAUUAACAAUGCUUGAGGCUGUUUCUACAGGGCUAGAAUUUCUCGUUGUCCUUGAGUGAGAUUUGGAUUCUGAAUCAUAAUUCUGAUCAUCUACAAAAAACAAAAAAACAUGACUUGUUCUCACACAUUUUGUUACAUGUGCUGUUUCGGAAUCUACACUCGGAGCGGUGGUGGUUGUCUCUUCUGCAACUGAAACAUCUACCAUGCUGACAAGGCAUUAAUAUUAAUGUAAACCAAUGUAUCUUGGAGAACGUCUGCAGACUCCCAUGCAGUGGCUACAUUUACAAGUCAUAGCUAAUGAGUUCUCAUACUAUCGGGAGGAGCACAAGCUCCAAUCACGCAACAUGUUGUGUUUUUUCAGGUUGGAUCCUGCCUUCCUAAUCUGCAGCUAUUUUAAAAUUUGUAUUUUCCAAUCAUAGACAAAUAUACAUAUCAUCUGUGCUUCAAACUUA
rnacentral:lncRNA from 1 species